GUGCCAGCAGCCGCGGUAAUACGAAGGGGGCUAGCGUUGCUCGGAAUUACUGGGCGUAAAGGGCGCGUAGGCGGAUAUUUAAGUCGGGGGUGAAAGCCCAGGGCUCAACCCUGGAAUUGCCUUCGAUACUGGAUAUCUUGAGUUCGGGAGAGGUGAGUGGAAUGCCGAGUGUAGAGGUGAAAUUCGUAGAUAUUCGGCGGAACACCAGUGGCGAAGGCGACUCACUGGCCCGAUACUGACGCUGAGGCGCGAAAGCGUGGGGAGCAAACAGGAUUAGAUACCCUGGUAGUCC
rnacentral:rRNA from 1 species